rnacentral:rRNA from 1 species
CUCUCGGGUGACAAGCGGCGGACGGGUGAGUAACGCGUAGGAAUCUACCUAAUAGUGGGGGAUAGCCCAGGGAAACUUGGAUUAAUACCGCAUACGCCCUAAGGGGGAAAGCGGGGGAUCUUCGGACCUCGUGCUAUUAGAUGAGCCUGCGUAAGAUUAGCUAGUUGGUGAGGUAAGAGCUCACCAAGGCGACGAUCUUUAGCUGGUCUGAGAGGAUGAUCAGCCACACUGGGACUGAGACACGGCCCAGACUCCUACGGGAGGCAGCAGUGGGGAAUAUUGGACAAUGGGGGCAACCCUGAUCCAGCCAUGCCGCGUGUGUGAAGAAGGCCUGCGGGUUGUAAAGCACUUUCAGUUGGGAAGAUGAUGACGUUACCAACAGAAGAAGCACCGGCUAAAUCCGUGCCAGCAGCCGCGGUAAUACGGAUGGUGCGAGCGUUAAUCGGAAUUACUGGGCGUAAAGCGCGCGUAGGCGGCUAAGUCAGUCAGAAGUGAAAGCCCCGGGCUCAACCUGGGAAUUGCUUUUGAUACUGCUUAGCUAGAGUUUGGUAGAGGAUAGUGGAAUUCCAGGUGUAGCGGUGAAAUGCGUAGAUAUCUGGAGGAACAUCGGUGGCGAAGGCGACUGUCUGGACCAAAACUGACGCUGAGGUGCGAAAGCGUGGGUAGCAAACAGGAUUAGAUACCCUGGUAG